rnacentral:ncRNA from 2 species
GGUCAUGAGCGCCAGCGUCAAGCCCCGGCUUGCUGGCCGGCAACCCUCCAACCGCGGUGGGGUGCCCCGGGUGAUGACCAGGUUGAGUAGCCAUGACGGCUACGCGGCAAGCGCGGGUC